rnacentral:lncRNA from 1 species
CUCCAGGUCCAGCACAAAGUGAGACUGUAUUCUACUAUUGCUCAACCAAGCCCUGAGAUGAGUCUCAUGGAACCAGUUUCAACCACAUCCAUACUCUUGAGAACAGGACCCAUUCAGCUGUCUGACUGGAACAAAUGGAAGUGGAAAGAAACGUUUCUGAUACAAUUUUUCUGAGUCUCUGUGCUCUGCCUCCCAUCAACAUUACCUGUGGACCCAGUCCAGAUGGAGACACAUAUAAGCCCGCUUCAAAACUUUCUUGGAAAACAGAAUUAAAAGCUUGGCACUCAGGACAACUGCCCAAUGGCUCACCCAUUCAUCUGGUGUAUGUCAUCGUUAGCCCAGAGUGUAGAAGGACUUGGCCUUCAACAUCAAAUCAUGUCUGUGAAACACCCUCUGGAGAGCUUGAGUGCCAUCUGGCCAGGGUAAGACCUGGCAUGGGAGAGCCCAGUGGGGACAGAGGAGGGGAUCCUGUGCUGAUCCACGUACCAGGGAAUGCAAAGUGGGGCUAUAGUUGGAAACCACACCUAUUGGACGCAGGGGGAGACAAAGAGGUGUGGGCCAAAGAGCUAUCAUCUUCCCUGGCUGGUCUCUGA